rnacentral:rRNA from 1 species
AUGGUUGGACAAGAAAUAAUCUGUCUCAAAUUAAUAUAUUGAAUUUAACUUUUAAGUGAAAAGGCUUAAAUGAUCUGAAGGGACGAUAAGACCCUAUAAAACUUUAUAUUUAUAAUAUAGUAGUUAAUUUUAUUUAAAAAUAUUAUUUUAAAAUAUUUGGUUGGGGUGACAAGGAUAAAAUGUUGGAUAACUGUCCUUUUUUUUUACAGUAAUAUUUGAUUUAGUGAUCCUAAAAAGGAUUAAAGAUUAAGUUACUUUAGGGAUAACAGCGUAAUUUUCUUUAAGAGUUCUUAUCGACAGGAAAGUUUGCGACCUCGAUGUUGAAUUAAAAAUUCUUUAUAGAGUAGAGACUAUAAUAGAGGGUCUGUUCGACCUUAAAAUUUACA